CCUGUGGCUGUCAGUCGGCGCUCGCCGCCGCGGCUGCUCGCACGCCGGGCCUCCGGAGCCACCUCAGCCUGGCGCGCAGACUUUUGUUUUACCAGCCUUGAAGGACAAAGAACUCAGGAGUCAAAGGACAUGGCUUGCCCAAUGUAGAGAGACUCACUAGGAGACCAGCUGCCUUUGAGUAGAACUCCUGAGGACAAAGGUGUUUAUGAAAAAAAUGCACAAUAUCCCGACUGACCGGAAUAAUUGAAGAAAGGUGCUGGAUCCGUGAGUCAGAGAACACACAGGACCAGCUUGCUACCCCAAGACUGAAGUCUGGUGUCUCGGAUUUGGUCCUGCGUUGUCCACUCCUGCUGCAUCUUGUCCAGCGAGGGACAAAACACCCUGUCACCUGCCUGAAGAACAGGAAGAAAAGAAGUUACAGAGGCAGAUUCCAGUGAAUCCAGAGACCGAGAUGUUAAUGCUCAGAGAGAACCGGGAUCACCAAGACGUGGACUUCCAGAAGCCCCAGGAGAACUGGACAAGAGGCACACUGACCCAAGUGGUAGAAGUACUGACAGUGACCCCAUGACAUGGACAUCAGCACCUGGGCUGCCCAUUCAAGAUCCACCAAAUGGAGGAUAGCACAGCAGAAUCUCACUUUGCAAACACCCUGGCACAAGAACCAGAGAAGUUGGAGCAGCAGCAUGUAUCACAAAACUACCAGAUAAAGCCAGAGAAGAUGGCAGGUUGACUUGUGAUUGGCUGUACCAAUAGUUACUGUGAGAAGAGACCUCCUCCCCAUCAGAUCCCAUUACAUCUGGACGCCACUCUCCACCAUAAGCCUGAAGUUCUGAUUCAGCUGGCAGCCUUCCACUCAACCUUCCUUGUGAGGAAAUUCCCCCUUUCUCCUCCAUAUUCUGGUAUUCUGGAUUCACUUGUUAUGCCCAAUUCCAGGUCACCUUAAAUAGAAGCACCCUGAGACAUUCGUACUUUUCAGAAGCUGCCAAAUGAGUGUCAUGUCUAUGUUACCCUGGGUCACAUAUAACCUGGGUCCACUUCUGAUAGAUGCUGCCUGGCAUGGUCAGUGAGUUGCUCCUUCAGCAGUUUUGGUACCCUUCUCCCUGCCUCACUCAUCCCAGUUCUGACUUAAUCAGCGCCUGGUGUCCGGAUUGCAUGAAGAGGGAGAAGGUGUGGUUGGAGGAAGCAAUACCUUGGUCUGCUGGGACUCUGGAACCUGCUCCAACUUAGGCAGAAGGUCACCAACCCUCAGCUCAUGUCCUGCCUUGUCCCCUACCCAUGACUCAGUCCUACCUCUUGUGUCUGUCCUAGCCUGGACGGUUGUACUUUAUUUUUUUUUUCAAUUAAACAGAAUUUGGCUACUUUUU